rnacentral:rRNA from 1 species
UACGAAGGGGGCUAGCGUUGCUCGGAAUCACUGGGCGUAAAGCGCACGUAGGCGGACUCUUAAGUCGGGGGUGAAAUCCUGGAGCUCAACUCCAGAACUGCCUUCGAUACUGGGAGCCUUCGAGUUCGGGAGAGGUGAGUGGAACUGCGAGUGUAGAGGUGAAAUUCGUAGAUAUUCGCAAGAACACCAGUGGCGAAGGCGGCUCACUGGCCCGAUACUGACGCUGAGGUGCGAAAGCGUGGGGAGCGAACAGG